rnacentral:rRNA from 1 species
GAUGAACGCUAGCUACAGGCUUAACACAUGCAAGUCGAGGGGCAGCAGGGAUUUAGCUUGCUAAAUCCGCUGGCGACCGGCGCACGGGUGCGUAACGCGUAUCCAACUUUCCCGUUACUCUUGGAUAGCCUUCCGAAAGGGAGAUUAAUACAAGAUGGCAUCAGAAUUUCGCAUGUUAUUCUGAUUAAAGAUUUAUCGGUAACGGAUAGGGAUGCGUGACAUUAGAUAGUAGGCGGGGUAACGGCCCACCUAGUCUACGAUGUCUAGGGGUUCUGAGAGGAAGGUCACCCACACUGGAACUGAGACACGGACCAGACUCCUACGGGAGGCAGCAGUGAGGAAUAUUGGUCAAUGGUCGGAAGACUGAACCAGCCAAGUAGCGUGAAGGAUGAAGGUUCUAUGGAUUGUAAACUUCUUUUAUAUAGGAAUAAAACCUCCCACGUGUGGGAGCUUGUAUGUACUAUAUGAAUAAGCAUCGGCUAACUCCGUGCCAGCCGCCGCGGUAACAC